rnacentral:lncRNA from 1 species
GAGGUCUCAUGUCUGCUUAUGCGGUGGCUCGCUGCUCAGAACAGGGAGGAAGAGGGUAAUCUGGAAGAGUUUCCUGACCUACUCUGCUGCUGUGAUUAAACAACCACCAGGAAAUUUUGAUGACACUGUUCUCCUGAGCUCCUCCCUUUCCUCGGGGAAGAAAAGCAUUGAAACUACAAAAAUAAAGUGUUAUUUGGCUGGAGUGAGGUCUCAUGUCUGCUUAUGCGGUGGCUCGCUGCUCAGAACAGGGUGAGUCUCUGAGUUGUACGCUGAGGAGGGGAGGCUGUCAAUCUAGAAAAAACCCAUUGCAUGGGACACCUCCAUGGGGUCUGGGGGGCUGAGGAUGAGGAGCUGGACUGGAUCUAGGGAAGGAGGAGGUUUCAGAGGGUGAAAUUCUGGCAGUAAAUCCUGGGGGUGUUUGAAAACUUCCUCCCUCAGAAGGAGAAGACUCAGGGAGGAAUAAGGACAAACCAUGGGUCCCUUGAGGGGCAUUUACUAACUUAAGAGGACUUUAUCGGGAAGCAGAGUGACAAUGGCCUCCUUGAGGACUGAGGCCCCUGGAUAAAUGAGGCCCAGAUCCAGAUCCAGUCCAUGGGAGAUGAGACCUUCAAGGGACAUAUUUUUGUUGGGACAGAGGAAAAGUGCAGCUCUGCAGCUGCAGAGGAAGCCUUGGCAGUGUGAAAGCGACCUUGGAGGGGGCCCUGUGCGUUCUGAAUGCUUCUGAGGUCCAUCCCCUGUCCCCGCCUCUUUUUCUGGAUUUUUUGGGCUCCAUGGUCUCCGCCAUCUU